rnacentral:RNase_P_RNA from 1 species
AGAGUGAGCUAGACAACCGCUGCUUGUUAUUGCUUACUUGUCAGUAAUUAAUAAUUAAGGAGAGGAAAGUCCGGGCUCCAUAGGGCAGGGUGCCAGAUAACAUCUGGGGAGCGGAAGCUUACGACUAGUGCAACAGAAAGCAAACCUCCGAUGGCUAUUUUAAAGCACAGGAAAGGGUGAAAUGGUGCGGUAAGAGCGCACCGCGUAACUGGUAACAGGUUGCGGCAUGGUAAACUCCACCUGGAGUAAGGCCAAAUAGGAGUUCAUUAGAUGCGGCCCGUAUCGAACUUGGGUAGGCUGCUUGAGCCAGUGUGCAAAUACUGGCCUAGAUAAAUGGUUGUCCACGACAGAACCCGGCUUAUCGGCUGACUCUAGCU